rnacentral:misc_RNA from 1 species
GGAAGGAUCAUUAACACUAAUCCAAUUAACUCAACCUAGCCUUCAGUUGCAGUAGUAGCAUCGCUAGCGAAAGCAGGCUUUGCAGCUUCUGCAGCAACUAACAAACUAAUUGCAAAGGAGCCUAACUAAGCUCAUAACAAAAACCAAAUUCUCAACGAUGGAUAUCUUGGUUCCCAUAACGAUGAAGAACGCAGCGAAGUGCGAUAAGCAAUGCGAAUUGCAGAACCGUGAGUCAUCAGAUUUUUGAACGCAACUGGCACCGAUUGGCUAUCCAGUCGGUAUGCUUGUUUCAGUGUCUUAUUUUCUCCUCACCCAAAUCAUAAUGCGAGAGAUGCCCUUCUCUUGCUAAGCAUGAAAGCACUCUGCGCUCUGCAGGCGAUUCUAUGGCUUAGCCUGGAGUCGCACUCAAUGCAGCCGUCACAUUGCUUCAAUGUGAACUCAUUGAGAGUAGAGGCAGCUCAGCGUAAGCUGUUAGUGCUUAGUCACUCAAACUUUAUCUGUAUCUGAAAUCAAGCAGGACCACCCGCUGAACUUAAGCAUAUCACUAAGCGGAGGAAAAGAAAUUAACUAAGAUUGCCUCAGUAACGGCGAGUGAAGCGGCAAGAGCCCAAACUGGAAAUCUUCACCCUUCGGGUGACGAAUUGUAAUCUAAAGGUGGUUUGCUCACCGGACGGUGGCGCAGAAGUUCCCUCGAACGGGACGCCAGAGAAGGUGACAGCCCUGUAUGUGGUGCCACUGUCUAACGAGCAAGCUUCCAAAGAGUCGGAUUGUUUUGUAUUGCAGUCCUAAGCGGGAGAUAAACUUCUUCUAAGGCUAAAUAUAUAUGGGAAACCGAUAGCGAACAAGUACUGUGAAGGAAAGAUGAAAAGAACUUUGAAAAGAGAGUUAAAAGACUUGAAAUCGUUGAGAAGGAACCGGUAGAAAUUUAUUCUUCGGCGUCGGCCUAGUCUAGUUGCCUAACCAUUGCCUGUAGCCAGCACCGCAAGGGCUGCUGCGGGUGCCUGGGGAAGCGGCUAGUUUGGUCGGCGUCGUGAGGCAAAAUGGGGUCGUGUUCCCGCAGAGGCUUCUUAGGCCUGGGUGUCUUCGGAUACCAGCCUAGGUGUGUCGGUGGGGGUGCGGCCUGAGGGUGCUUCGUGCGAUUUUGCCAAAAUGGUUUUUACCGACCCGUCUUGAAACACGGACCAAGGAGUCUAACAUAUAUGCGAGUGUGCUGGUGGAAAAACCAACACGCGUAAUGAAAGUGAGCGAUGCCAAGCGCAAGCGGCAGCAUCGACCGACCAUGAUCCUCUGGUGAAAGGUUUGAGUAAGAGCAUAUCUGUUAGGACCCGAAAGAUGGUGAACUAUGCCUGAGUAGGGUGAAGCCAGGGGAAACUCUGGUGGAGGCUCGUAGCGGUUCUGACGUGCAAAUCGAUCGUCAAACUUGGGUAUAGGGGCGAAAGACUAAUCGAACCAUCUAGUAGCUGGUUCCCUC